rnacentral:rRNA from 1 species
CUCGUAGGUGGCCAACUAAGUCAGACGUGAAAUCCCUCAGCUUAACUGGGGAACUGCGUCUGAUACUGGAUGGCUUGAGAUUGGGAGAGGGAUGCGGAAUUCCAGGUGUAGCGGUGAAAUGCGUAGAUAUCUGGAGGAACACCGGUGGCGAAGGCGGCAUCCUGGACCAACACUGACACUGAGGAGCGAAAGCCAGGGGAGCAAACGG